AUUCUGGAAAGGUGUCUGUCUUUACGUCCAUUAUCCUACGUCUUGCCAUAAGCCCCUAAUUCUUAACACUACCAACCUUUUAGCUUCUAAUUUGCUAAGUGGAAAGUCUAUAUCCACAGCUUAACAUUUAACAGCUUUUGGAGCUAAACAGUCAACAUCAUCAUUUCCCUCAACAGUGUGAUAUGAAGGGCCCAUCAUGUGCAGACAUAUAAAUCAAACUUUAUAUAUGAAAUACCGUUUGACAAGUUUCCAACAGUCAAUCUGACCUACUGCCAGAAUGACCUGUUUAAGACUCAUCAAAACCGAAAUGUAUUCUGAGCAAAUUAUAAGGACCAAUUUCUUCCAUCCACUGUAAGCCUAAACUGUUGGCAAAGAAUUCUGCCUUCUAUGCUGAUAAAUGGCUAUAAGUCAUUUCUUUAUCAUUACCUGCAAUUCAGGCACACAAAAACAGCCACACCAACAUCCCCAAUUAAAUUAUCUUUUGAUUCAUCUGUAAAAAUGGUUACUGUAUGAUAAUAACUUUCAUUAAUAUACUGAUGACCAACAGACUCUCAGGCAGAACCGAAUCCGAUCGUGUAAAAACUAAAAUCAACUGAAGUCAUUGGAAAAAACAAUGUGGGGUUACAGAGAACGCUACAGUGGGACAUACUGUAUCAUCAAAUACACCCAUAUUCGCAGCGUGGUAACAACCCAGCCACCCAAAACAAAAUACACUCUUCUAGUGAUGUCCCCAACCGUCCUCCAGCGCACCUUUAACAGAAUGAUCAUUUCCUUGACCCGCAAAUUAAUCCAGUAUGUUGACAUCAACUUGAACCUUUGAGGGCAAUUGUCCCAUUGCAAUCAGUAAAGCCAAAGCAGGAGACAACAUUACCGCACCAGAACAGAAUCUAAAAGUCUGUAAUUGUAUCACAUACAAACACUUUUAAUUUGAAGAUGAAGGUGAUCCACAAGCCACACAGACAUAAUCAAGAACAGAUCUAAUUAAACAAAUAAAAUUGGUCAGCAAAGAUUUUCAUGUUGCACCCAAGAAUACCCACAUAGAUGUCUGAGGGGAUUUAAAGCUCUUUACAUUUAUCAAUUAUUUUACUGAUAGGUGCUUCCCCGUCAGCUUAUUAUCCAUCCACAUACUGAGAAAUGUUACCACUGACACUUCCUCAAGAUAUUAAUCAUAUAAUUUAAAAUCAACUGCAAGUCUAUUAAUGCUGUUUGUAAACCACGUAAUGUGUUUUAACGACUGAAAGCUUACAAUCCUCAUCAAUCUGCCCACUGUUUGAGCUAUUAAUUGUAAAUUGCAGUUAAUACCUCAAAUCCAUAAAGCUAUUGUGAUUUACCCAGGGAAUCCCAUUUUCCCAUCUCAGAGAAAAUAUCAUUAAUCAUAAUAUUAAAUAAUGAAGGGCUACAAAUACUGCCUUGUGGGAUUCCAUUCUCUAUCUCAUAGACACAAACAUGCCGACCGUUACUUGGACAGUCCAUACAAAAAAAAACUCAGAAAAAUUAUACAAUGUCCCCCUUACUCCUAAUUUAAUCAAAAGUCCUUUCUUCCAUAUCAUUUCCCUUUUCAGUCUCAAGAAAUACUGCUAUUACAACAUCUUUAUUUAAUUGUGCUUUCCAAAUAUCAUCUUCCAAACCUAAAACUGAAUCUAAUGUCAUUUCACACUUCCAAAAUCCACUCUAAUAAAACACUUUAUCACCACUCUUUCCAAAAUAUAACUCAAGCGCUUGAUUACUAUACAUUCCAUAAGGUUACAUAAAUGAGGCAUUCACGAUAUAGGCCCUUAACUAGAAGGAUCAAAUGGGGAUCUGCCAGGUUUUAGAAUAGGCACUACUAUUUCCAUUUUCCAUGAGGAAAGUGGAUGCACAAUUCAAAUAUUUAAUAUUUUACAAAUGCGAAUUAUAUACAAUUACAAUUUCAAAUAUCACUCUUUCCUGGAGACACCUGACCUGCAUUAUUAAUAUACUUCUUAAAUUCAUACAAAGAAAUCUCUCCAUCCGUGAUACUAUCAUUGCUGCAGCUGACUUCCAGCACAUCAGGGUAUUCACUGAAAAACAUAUCCCUACAUUGUUUAACUUCUUCACUUAAAUUAUCCUGAUUAUGAAUCUCAGCAAAUGACCCAGCCAGUAACACAACCUUCCCUGUUUCAGUAACAAUCAUUUUGCCCUCAUUAAUCAACACUGGAAUAUUAUGAUCCCCACAAAUCCCAUUUUCUAAAUCAUAUCCCAAACAAUUUCAAGUUUGAUAUCCCUUCAUAUAAUCUCCAGUAAAUCACCUACUUCCUCACCACGGCCUUUGCCCAUUUGUUGUUAAUAAUGUAACUCGGAGACUGAUGCACCAUCACACAAAAACUCACAUUUCUCCCAAUUUGCUUCCUGUCCCAUUAUUAAUCCAAAUCCAAACUCAGAAAGACAGGAAGGCUGACUGACGUUCAAAUAAACUAAUCACCCUCUGAGUUCCCACUUGAGCGACGGGCACUACAGCCAAUGACAGCAGGGGUUAGUAUUAAAUUUGAGCUGCGAUAGGCUGGAGGAAAGCGGCCCAUGAUCAGCCCCUCCUCUUCCGCUCCAUCGCCAUGGCGGAGAUCAGCGAGUCGCUUCUGUCGGUGUCGCCGGCCUCGGCGCCCACAAGGACGGGUGUGAUUCCCCUUCGCGCCCCGGUGGGUCUGUUUCGGUGACGUCUGUGGUGGCUGACGAAACAUGCUUUGACAGGGAGCGAACGAGGACCAAUGACUACAACUCCCGGAAGGCCCCACUGAUGAUGUUGUGUUGUUGUUUCGGGCUUUCCCACCACAGAUGUAAGGCUCAAUGGUCUAUAAUUAUCGGGACUAUCCCUACUACCCUUUUUGAACAAGGGGACAACAUUCGCCUCCCUCCAAUACUCCGGUACAAUUCCCGUGGACAAUGGGGACAUAAUGAUCUUCGCCAGAGGCUCUGCAAUCUAUUUCCUUGCCUCGGAUGCAGAACUGGGAAGCGCAGAUGGAGUUCAACACAGAUGAAGAGGUUCAUUUCUGCAGGUCAAAUUUGAACACAGAAUAUAAUAUUAAUGAUUGAUGAAUUGGGCCGUGGGUUCAACAUCCAUCAAACCCUCCCAGAUCAUCCUCCUGAGGAAUCUCACCCCGGAGUCUGUCUGUGAAGUGUUGAUGUGACGUCACGUCAGAGGGCAGCUCAGUGCCACAGAACAGACAGACUGGGUAAGGACGGCAGGUUUCAAUCCUAAAUGGGAAUUUGUGCCUAUUUCUGUGGCCGUGUGUCACACUCUGAUAGUAUAUGUGUGUGUGUGUGUGUGUGUGUUGAUUGUGGUAAAUAUCCGUGUGGUGUGUAUACACAUUGAAGGAGAGUGUGCACAUUGAAGAAUUUGUAUGUUUCAGUGUGUCAUCACAUGUCUGGUGUGUGUUGACAAUGUGUCACACGUGAUUGAGUUGUUUAAAUGAAUAAAUGACUGUCUCUGAAGAGAUUGGUUUCCAGGUUACUGAGGGAAAUAACAACGUACAUUGCUGAGGCUCU